rnacentral:lncRNA from 1 species
CCUCUCCUUCUCUCGCCCUCCCUCUCUCUUCUCCCUCUCCCUUCAAGUCUGGCACUGAACGCGAACUGUUUUGCUUUGCUCCGGGAAGAGUGCAGACACAGAACGUGAAAUCCCGAGCUUUUUUUUUUUUUUUUUUUUGCGUGGUGCAUUUAAAACGCUUCCUUAUUUAUAUUACCCUCAUUCCCUCACCUCUCCCACCCCCUCACCAGCCUUUCCAAAUUUCCCUAGAAAUCUCUAUAAAGCGUGCGGAGGGGAAAACAUUUGCACAAAAAGUGAAGGAGCUCGCCAAGGUAGUCAAACCUGCCCUGACACCUGGACGUCUGCAUGAGGGGUGGUCACUGAAGGAGGAGUUGUCAGAGGCCAUAGGAGCUAAAGAGUCUGUGCAGAUGAGCUCUGGAGUCCCAGGAGUCUCCUGCUGAAGAAAGAAUCUAAAGAGAUGCCUAAGUUCCAGGGGAUUUUCCUCUAAGACUAAUAACAUCAAGAUAGCUUUGAUUUUAUUUAUUUAUAUUCAUUUUUUUUUCCACAAGAGAAAUAUAUAUCAUCUUCAGAGAUCUUGGGUUAGAAUUUUUUAUUUCACUUUUGCUGGUUGAAGAUGAAUCUCAAACCCUGAUGCUGUAUUUUUGUUUAUUUCAUGAAGAAUUUCAGAUGGUGCUUGACAACUGAUACCUCCUAUAAAAUCAACAAAUACUGUCUUACACUAUGUCUAUUAAAGAUAUCUUCCAAGUGUCAUUUCACCAAGUAAAGAAUUUGAACCACCUCACACUAUACAUUUUUGGUUAAAUAUUUGAGAGCUAUUAUUUUGAAAGUCACCCAUAGUAAUUAAUAGCCAAGUCAAAAGAAUUAAAAUUUUGGGUCUGUUUCUACAUUUAUACUCCAUCUUCUCCCUCUUUAAGUUCUCCUGGAAACAAAACAGAGUAUCCCUCUUCCAGCAAACCACUUUUAAAAUUCCAUGUAAGAAAAUACCAAACUUGAAAUUAUGAAACCUCACCAUCAGUUUCUGAGGAUUCUGGGACUAGAACUCAACCAGAAACUUUAUAAUUUAGGACUUGAGAGCCUA